AUUCGAGGCUACUAUGUGCU
rnacentral:piRNA from 1 species